UACAGAGGUCCCAAGCGUUGUUCGGAUUCACUGGGCGUAAAGGGUGCGUAGGUGGCGGGGUAAGUCGGGUGUGAAAUCUCAGAGCUCAACUCUGAAACUGCACUCGAUACUGCUCUGCUUGAGGACUGGAGAGGAGACUGGAAUUCACGGUGUAGCAGUGAAAUGCGUAGAUAUCGUGAGGAAGACCAGUGGCGAAGGCGGGUCUCUGGACAGUUCCUGACGCUGAGGCGCGAAGGCCAGGGGAGCAAACGGG
rnacentral:rRNA from 1 species